rnacentral:ncRNA from 23 species
AAAAGUCUUCAGGGCGGGGUGUAAGUCCCCACCGGCGGUAAAGCCCGCGAGCUAGUUUUUAGCAUGAUUCGGUGAAAUUCCGAGGCCGACAGUAUAGUCUGGAUGAAAGAAGAUGAGU